rnacentral:lncRNA from 1 species
CGGACCCCUCCCAACCCAGCAGGACAUGGUGAACUCGCACCGGGGCCUGGCCUUCCUGAAAGCAGCAAAGGAGUUCCACUAGCGUUACAUCACCACUGCCAGCCAGACAUCAACCGCAUAACAUUCGUUCUUGUUCUUCUCCUGUGAGCAUUUCUAUGUCAUCUACUGCAAGUUCUGGGAGCUCGACCUGGACGGCGACCUCGCCAUAGACUGCCAUCUCUUCCUGGAUGAUAGACUGCGUCUUCUCUCUCCGGUGCUGUCACCCAGUGAGCAGCCUGGGAGGGCGCAGCCCCUGUGCAGUGCCAGGAAGCUGGGCUAUGCUGAACUCAUGUGGUGCCUGCUCUCAGAGGAGGACAAGAUCACGUGAGGGGCGGUGCCCCAGUCAGCCAUGCCUCCUGCUUGCUCCUUACCUCGCUUCUCUGUGGUCACGCCCACCAACUCUGGCUUCACCCUGACAUGGCCACGCUGAGUACUGGUUCCGCUGCGUGGUGGUCGAGCUCGAGUUCUAUGAGGAGCAGGCCUGGCACAUGGCCCCCCAAGGCAUGGAGCUCCUCCUUUUCUGCCACCUCACGCACCAGGUCGGAUCACGCUUUGUGGCCUGAAGCGCUUGAGCCUGGCAGGUGCCUGGAGGGGUUCUUCCCUCAAGUCUGAGAUGACAGCAGCACAGCAAAGAUAAGAGGCUACAUAAAAUAAGG